rnacentral:tRNA from 1 species
CGGGGCGUAGCUCAGUCUGGUAGAGCACCUCGCACAGUAGGGGAAAGAAUGGAGGUAACCCUGCGAGGCGGUCGGGGGUUCGAAUCCCCCCGCCGCGACCA